GACGAACGCUGGCGGCGUGCUUAACACAUGCAAGUCGAACGGAAAGGCCCUGCUUUUGUGGGGUGCUCGAGUGGCGAACGGGUGAGUAACACGUGAGUAACCUGCCCUUGACUUUGGGAUAACUUCAGGAAACUGGGGCUAAUACCGGAUAGGAGCUCCUGCUGCAUGGUGGGGGUUGGAAAGUUUCGGCGGUUGGGGAUGGACUCGCGGCUUAUCGGCUUGUUGGUGGGGUAGUGGCUUACCAAGGCUUUGACGGGUAGCCGGCCUGGGAGGGUGACCGGCCACAUUGGGACUGAGGUACGGCCCAGACUCCUACGGGAGGCAGCAGGGGGGAAUAUUGCACAAUGGGCGGAAGCCUGAUGCAGCAACGCCGCGUGCGGGAUGACGGCCUUCGGGUUGUAAACCGCUUUCGCCUGUGACGAAGCGUGAGUGACGGUAAUGGGUAAAGAAGCACCGGCUAACUACGUG
rnacentral:rRNA from 1 species